rnacentral:snoRNA from 1 species
UAGUACCUGACAUUAGUAUGAGGUAUUUCAAUAUCAAUAUCUUAUUAUGUUUCUGGCGUGGUAAAUAAACCUUUGGAGGUAAAUUAGCAGCAUGACUUAAUUUAGCCAUUGCCAGUCACCUUCAGACAAGU